rnacentral:rRNA from 1 species
AUUGAACGCUGGCGGCAGGCCUAACACAUGCAAGUCGAACGAGUGGCGGACGGGUGAGUAAUGUCUGGGAAACUGCCUGAUGGCGGGGGAUAACUACUGGAAACGGUAGCUAAUACCGCAUACCAUCGGAUGUGCCCAGAUGGGAUUAGCUAGUGGGUGGGGUAAAGGAUCCCCUAGGGGACGAUCCCUGGCUGGUCGGAGAGGAUGACCAGGCAGACUGGAACGGAGACACGGUCCAUACUCCUACGGAAGGCACCAGUGGGGAAUAUUGCACAAUGGGCGCAAGCCUGAUGCAGCCAUGCCGCGUGUAUGAAGAAGGCCUUCGGGUUGUAAAGUACUUUCAGCGGGGAGGCGUUACCCGCAGAAGAAGCACCGGCUAACUCCGUGCCAGCAGCCGCGGUAAUAC